GAAAAGUGUUUUCCUUCAUAACACAUUACCCUUCAACUAUGUACAUAUAGUGUAUUUCUAGUUUUCUUUAACUUGUAGUUCUACAGUGAAGCAUGUUUGGUGUUGUGUAGUUGUCUCAUUUCAUAUUGUCUUCAAUUCAUUACUUGUCCACUGAUCAAGCAACAAUUUAUGUACUUCAUUGCCAUCAUUAACAUCCACUUCAUAACAAAAAGGUCAUUAAUAAAAUAAAUGAUGAGCAUUUACAUCACUUCUACAAAAACAUUGAUAUCUCUUAUGCUUCGAUGAGAAUCAAUUUUCUUUCCUUGUAACAUAUAUGCCGAAUAUGAUGGCUCUUGCAUAUGGUAUCUAUUUGUCAUGUUUAAUUCUAUGCUAUUUUUCAAGUUCACAUUAUAUACAUGCAUGCUAUAUCCCUUGGUAUACAUGAUAUAUUUGUAACAGAAGGAUUACACCAUUGGCCAUAUAUGAUGGCUCUUAUAAAUAAAUAUUCUGCUGAUCCGAAAUCUGUAUGACACUGCUCCUGAAGAACUGCUGCUGCUUUAUAUUUCUUGCAUAGUUUAAUUGUCUAUUAGCAUUUUCUGUAGCAUAUAUCUGUGUUCUGUAUAGAGAAAUGGAAAGAUUUCGUAAUAUUUUUUUCCCCAAAACAUUUC
rnacentral:misc_RNA from 1 species